CCCAAGGGGUUCGACCGCAAUGGCCCCUCGAGGCCGCAGCCGAACGAUUGCGUCCAUGGUUCCCAUCCCGGGGAGGACGCCUAUG
rnacentral:ncRNA from 1 species